UUCAGUAGCGCACAAAAAUUUUUCAGCUUGGACUGUAAUAUUUCCUUUCAAUCUUUUUGCAUAAUUGUUGCCGAAUUUGAUUCUCUCUGCUCCCUCUUUUGAACAGGUUGGGAAUUUGCUAUUGAGGAGAUAUUGACUUGGGAUUCUUGAAAAUUCUCGAGAAAUGGAGAGUAAUGCGUCUGGGGAUGACUUUGGUGACAUUGAUUGGAAUACUGAAGAUGAACUAGAAAUUUCAGAAAUACCAAUUUCUACUUCGAACUUGCCCACUCCUGGUGGUGUGACAAUUGUUUGCAAUGGCGAGGAAAGCUCAUCUGCUCAUUCUUCCAAUUCCAAGUUGAUUCAGCAUUUCGUGGGAUGGGA